rnacentral:rRNA from 1 species
UACGUAGGUGGCAAGCGUUGUCCGGAUUUACUGGGCGUAAAGAGCGCGCAGGCGGUCGUUCAAGUCGCGUGUGAAAGCCCCCGGCUCAACUGGGGAGGGUCACGCGAUACUGUCCGACUCGAAGGCAGGAGAGGGAAGCGGAAUUCCAGGUGUAGCGGUGAAAUGCGUAGAUAUCUGGAGGAACACCGGUGGCGAAGGCGGCAUCCUGGACCGGUAUUGACGCUGAGGCGCGAAAGCUAGGGGAGCAAACGGG